rnacentral:rRNA from 1 species
GACCCUAUAGAGUUUAAUAAAUAUAUUAAUUAAUUGAGUUAUCAAUAUAAUUUUUGAUUAUUAAAAGAAUUUAUUUAAUUGGGGUGAUUGGAAGAUAAAUUUAACUCUUCUUUAUUUUUAAUAUUAUAAUUAGUUAUAUGAUCCAUAUUUAAUGAUUAUAAGAUUAAAUUACCUUAGGGAUAACAGCAUAAUUUUUUUUGAGAGUUCAUAUCGAGAAAAGAGAUUGUGACCUCGAUGUUG